rnacentral:lncRNA from 1 species
GUAAAUAAAGGCAGUAAAGAAAGCAAUAAAGUCACAAAGCACGUAAUAGUAAAAGCCUUAAAGAAAUCCCCAGCGGAGUCGACAUGCUAUCGACGCCCCCUUUUUUCGCUCUCAAAAGAAGCGAAAGUCGGGUUUAUGACAUUAUGGACAAAGCAACUCUUAUUCCCGUUUGGGAAUUGGGUAUUACAAUUUGAAGAGUCGCCAACUAUUGACUAUAGUGCAUUAGGACACUUUUAAGAAGG